AUCUGCGUUGCAUAUCCAUGCAUGCGUGGCUUGCUCAAGCGCAUUGCGUUCUCUUUCGAUGCAGGCAAGCACGUGGACAACACGACUUUCAAGUCUGAUGCGAUGGAUGGUAAUGCUAGCUAUCUUUUCUUUUAUGGAGGCUGAGAGAAACAGAAGUAUGAAAGUGAAGAAGGCCAGCUAUUAUUUCAUGGAGGCUGAGAGGAAAAGACACGAAAGUGCGGACAACCUACUCGUGGAUCCCAUGUUUUAUGUGUAUAAUUUAACUGAUUUCUCUCGAGAGAAUGAGAUUGGUGAGAGUCUCAAGAUGUUCUGCAAGGAGAUCAGGACAUUGUGAGAGGCGAGACUAAGCAAGAUAGACUUCAAACUGAGCUGCCACGUGGGGGCGCUCUUUUUUAUGAGUCAUCAAUCAAUGCUGAAGCUACCAGAUUAAAGUCUUUCCAAAGCAUGAUCAAGUUCCUUUCCACCAGAAAUCUACAGGGCAUGGGUCAGGCAGUCUGGGGAAGAAAGGGACCAGAAAUUCUGAAAAAACUUUAAUUAAACCUGGGAUGCUUUGACAUGGAACUGUACUUUGGGAGAUUUGACGAUUGCUCCGGAAUAACGUGAUCAUGGUGACAUGUGCCUGGAUAUCACCCCCUUCAUCUUUGUGCAGUAGUAGCCGAGUUCAUCAUCUGGUUCCAAGGCCAUUGAAUUCUGAUGGUCAAAGGUGAGAAGAAAACAAAGAAAUAUCUAAUCAAGGCAUUCAUUCACCCCUCUUCCAUCCAAUCCAUUUGAUGUUCAUCAUUUCUCAACUGGCCUUGACAGCUGACAGAGCUCUAUUUUCAUCCAUGCAAUCUUGUCAAUGAUUCAUAAGUUCUCAUGUUUGAUUAUGGUUCAGCCAAGUGAGGUUUAUUUUCAUCCAUGUGAUCCAGUUGAUGAUCCAUCAGUGUAGAAUCGGGCCAUCAUGUGAAAGAUGAAUGUCAUUCAUGUUUGUUAGUAUUGCCUUCCACUGCUGCUGUUCUUACAUGAUUUGGAGGUCGUGAAGGUUUUGAAGAACGAACAUUUACCAACACAAGCAUUUUCACAACAUCCAGUAAAUCUUCAUAGCACUGGGGAUUUUCCUCUGAUGUAUCAGGGAGCAUAUGUCAAUGUCAACUCUGAGAGUCACCAGUAUGGAAUACUAGAAUUCAUUCUUCUGAUCCGAAACAGGAUGACCACCAACUCCACUUUCAAGACACACGUACAUGUAUCUCAGUUGGAAGAGGUACACAUCUGUAAAUAUGCAGUUACCACUAAACAUACUUACUGUUCUGUCAAGUGUGUAAAUGUGACAUGCGGAUAUUUAUUUUUGAUUCAGUUCUUGGAAUUACAACUUCAUCUUUUUUUUUUUAAAUUGUUUUCAGAUAAGUCAAUGCUGUCUUGCAUGCUGUAACAGACAAGCUCUAAAGGAAUUCUGAAUUGUAUGCCUAAAGAGUCACACAUGUCAUAGUUGUGUUCUUCACCUCUAAAAUAACCAUUAGACUGGGGGGGGUCUACAAUUGAAUUAUCAAAAAAAUCAUUAUAGGUAGCAAACAGACAGGUUUUACUGAUGAUUUUGUUAUAAAUAUCUGUAAUUUCAACAAAGUUUUUUUUUUAAUCUGAAAUUCACCUCAUUGCAAAUGAGAAUGGCAGCCAUUCCUUAUUAUACUUUUUACUUAAGAAAUGAAAUAGCAAUAGAUGAUAAAUAGAAAUAAGAUCACUUUAUUUAUAAACAAAACUUUUCUGAUAUGGUCAGGUUUUCAGAAAUGUUCCUUUACUCCAGUAUUUCAAAAGAAAAAGGUUAUGAAUUGUGAAAUUGUUACAUUUUGUAUAAGAAACAUAAAUUUCAUUUAUGCAGGCUUUAGUUUUAUCCUAAUUUUUCUCAUCUUAUUAGUCUAGUACUUUGUCCCUAUUCAAUUUUUAUAUUUAAAGAGUGUUCUCUUCCACAUGAAGGGAAUGUGUGCUUCACAUGCCAAGUGAUGUAUGAAGGAGCGUUCAAGCUAUCCAAGCCACUUGUCAAAUAAUGUUUUCCAAGUGCAGAUCCAGGUGAAUGGUUGCGAUGAAUGAGGCUUCAUCAUUCGGUGAGAAAUCUAUGUGGUAGGCAUGGUAGUUGUAAACCUCGGGUGAAAUACGCUGAGAAGAAAAUGAUACGGACAAAAUUGUAUUUCUAUUCGCAGAUAGAUUUGUAUUACUGUGCCCAAAAUAUCGGGCCUUACGACUUCUAAUUGCCUGAACUCAAUCGCCUGGCGGUAAUGUCCCACUAAUUCUUUGAUUUGUUCCAUUGCCACUGAUGCAGCAGUGAAACUUUGUACUUGUUUGCCUGGAACAGCAGGCUAUACGGCUUUUAAUUGCCUUUACUCAAUAGCCUGACGGCUAUCUCAACAUUCGGUAUUUAGUUUCACCUUUGCAGAGGGUCCUGGCGCUUUCCUUGAACCUCUUUGAUGGUUUUACAGUAAAACUGAGGCUGAGUUGCCUUCUCUCUUCAGCCUGGCGGCUAUGCCCCAUUCUUUCUUCCAUCUUUGACCUGCUCUCCCAGGGGGAGAUAGUCAAUUUAAGCUAGGGCGUUUGCUUGGUUGCAACCUUAUUGCAGAUGCUUUAAAAAAUCCUCAUAGAGGCUACCACUGGGGAAAGCGCAGACUCUGUUAUUUAUUUCUUGCUAUUAAGUUUUUUAGGAUCAGUCUGUCUCUGGUUAUCGUGUUUCUAGCUAGUCUAAUAUUAAAGGCCUAUACAUUCUCUUCAUUUAGGUUUGGUCUGUAUUGUCUUUGUUUUGCAGAUGAUUAUUUAGAAUAAUAUCAAUUGUGUAAUUCAAUUGACCUCUUCCACAUUACCUGGGCUGCUCAUGCUAUGGAUCCAACAGCGCUCACAGUCCAGUUUCCUUUCGUCGCUAUGGCCUGACAUAGCGCCCAGAGAGCGGAAUUCCUCUUUGUAUUCAUUCAAUUUUUUCUCCAUCUUCUUCAAUGAGCACACAAUGAACAGAAAUUCCUGUGUGAAAUUCUAUGCAUGCUCCAUUCCCAAAUUGGGAAGAAUGUCCCAAUGAAGAAUGUCUAGAACUAAAAUAUAACUUACGUUUCCCUACUGUCCCAGUGUCUGUUGUUGUUCCCCAUAACCUACCUUCACCCCCUACCCUUCCCUUAUUUAAUAAUUCUUGCCUAUCUUCUGUAGAGAGCUUGUUUUUUUCUCUAAAAUUAUCUAACCGUUUAAACAUUCUUUUCUCAACAUGGUCACACAUUC
rnacentral:lncRNA from 1 species